GACGAACGCUGGCGGCGUGCCUAAUACAUGCAAGUCGAACGAACCGCGACUAGGUGCUUGCACUUGGUCAAGGUGAGUGGCGAACGGGUGAGUAACACGUGGGUAACCUACCUCAUAGUGGGGGAUAACAGUCGGAAACGACUGCUAAUACCGCUUAUGACAUAGGAACACAUGAUCCAGUGAGGAAAGGCGGCGCAACCUAUCGCUAUGAGAUGGACCCGCGGUGCAUUAGCUAGUUGGUAGGGUAAAGGCCUACCAAGGCGAUGAUGCAUAGCCGACCUGAGAGGGUGAUCGGCCACAUUGGGACUGAGACACGGCCCAGACUCCUACGGGAGGCAGCAGUAGGGAAUCUUCCGCAAUGGACGAAAGUCUGACGGAGCAACGCCGCGUGAGUGAAGAAGGUCUUCGGAUCGUAAAGCUCUGUUGUUAGAGAAGAACAGCGCAUAGAGUAUCUGUUAUGCGUGUGACGGUAUCUAAUCAGAAAGCCACGGCUAACUACGUG
rnacentral:rRNA from 1 species